AUGGGUUUUUGCCGGCUUUCUUAUUUUGUUUUCCAUUUUUGUCUUCUUUUUCUUUUUUGGUUUUGGUUUUCUUUUUUCCCUUUUUUCAUUUUUAUCAGAUUCGUGAACUGUUUUCAAAUUGUUUUUUAUUUUUCCAAAUUAUUGUUAUUUUUUGAAAAAAUGCGUGAACCUUUUCAAAUUCUUGAAAUUUUUUCGAAACCUAUUGAUUUUUUAAAACUAGAAACAUUUUUUUUUCUAAUCUUUGUGAAAAUUUUCAUUUAUGCGAACUUUUUUCAAGCUGCGUACUUUUUCAGAAUUGUGCACCUUUUGAAAUUUGGUAACUUUUUUUAA
rnacentral:rRNA from 1 species